rnacentral:lncRNA from 1 species
UACCGGGAGCCCGGGUAGGCACCGGAGCCCUCGCAGGGACCAGAGCCCGAUCAGGUUACAGAGCCCGGUAUAUCUGAAGAAAAAGACAUAAAAGUUUUGUGAUUGAGAAAAUAAGAGCAAAGCCAAGACUCCUAUUUACCUCAUUAUGUUGCUCUCUUAAGAUGAUGAUAUUUCACCACUGUUGUCACUUUACAGACCACUGGUC